GAAAUAUAGUAUAUUAAGCUUCUAACUUAAAAAAUAGCGAUUAAACGUUAAUAUUUCU
rnacentral:tRNA from 1 species